AAAGAUAUAGCUCAGUGGUAGAGUGCUUGCCUAACAUGCAUGAGGCCCUGAGUUCAAUCCCCAGUUCCUAGA
rnacentral:tRNA from 1 species